CCUACGGGUGGCAGCAGUGGGGGAUAUUGCACAAUGGGCGAAACCCUGAUGCAGCGACGCCGCGUGGGCGAAGAAGUAUUUCGGUAUUUUAAGCCCUAUCUGCAGGGAAGAAGAAAUGACGGUACCUGACUAUGAAGCACCGGCUAAAUACGUGCCAGCAGCCGCGGUAAUACGUAUGGUGCAAGCGUUAUCCGGAUUUACUGGGUGUAAAGGGAGCGCAGGCGGCACGGCAAGCCUGAUGUGAAAGCCCGAGGCCCAACCGCGGGACUGCAUUGGGAACUACCGGGCUGGAGUGCCGGAGAGGUAGGCGGAAUGCGUAGUGUAGCGGUGAAAUGCGUAGAUAUUAGGAGGAACACCGGUGGCGAAGGCGGCCUACUGGACGGUAACUGACGCUGAGGCACGAAAGCGUGGGGAGCAAACAGGAUUAGAUACCCCAGUAGUC
rnacentral:rRNA from 1 species